GUGGGGAAUCUUCCGCAAUGGACGAAAGUCUGACGGAGCAACGCCGCGUGAGUGAUGAAGGUCUUCGGAUUGUAAAGCUCUGUUAAUCGGGACGAAAGAGCCUAGUGUGAAUAAUGCUAGGAAGUGACGGUACCGGAAUAGAAAGCCACGGCUAACUACGUGCCAGCAGCCGCGGUAAUACGUAGGUGGCAAGCGUUGUCCGGCAUUAUUGGGCGUAAAGCGCGCGCAGGCGGAUCUGCCAGUCUGUCUUAAAAGUUCGGGGCUUAACCCCGUGAUGGGAUGGAAACUACAGAUCUAGAGUAUCGGAGAGGAAAGUGGAAUUCCUAGUGUAGCGGUGAAAUGCGUAGAUAUUAGGAAGAACACCAGUGGCGAAGGCGACUUUCUGGACGAAAACUGACGCUGAGGCGCGAAAGCCAGGGGAGCGAACGGGAUUAGAUACCCUAGUAGUCC
rnacentral:rRNA from 1 species